AACGGCAACACCAGCAAACUCAACGUUGGGGCCCACACAACUGCUGCUUCUGGAAUUAAAGGUGGGACAGGCACAGUCUUUAAUCGCAUUUUAAAAACACUGGGCCAUGAAGAGAUUUACCUGCAACGAUGAGAAACGUUUUUUUAUUACUUGGAAUUCUGGGAGCCAAUCUAAAUAGGUUCUGGCUUAUACGACAGUGUUAAGGAGAGGGUAAGGGGAGCAACAUUUUGGAUGAGCUGGAGUUUGUCCGGACAAGGGUAAACAGUCAUUCCUCACCACGUAAAGGCUCCAUCAGCGCUUGAUUGAGGGCAACGUCGGGCGAUGCUACAGAAUUGGAACUAGGAGGUCGUUGUGAAUGGGGCGGAUAUGUGGUUCGAGCUUGAAACAGACGCAGAGACAGUUGCGGGGAGGGGGUUUCCAGCCGAUCCCAAAACUGUGGUCAAGGACGUCUGGAGUUUGCAGUAGGAUUUGAAGACAUCAGUGUUACCAACUUAUUGCAACAGAAAGAAACUGUAGCUUAUCCAGGAAUGGAUUUUGGAAACAGGAGUAGACAAGAAAACUCGUCGAGUAUAAUUGGAAAGAGGUAGAGUACAAUAUCGUCAACAUACUUGAGUAAACUGACCCCACCUCCUGCAGAUACCACUCACAGGUGUCAGUACAGAUGAGGACUUGGAGAGGGCAAUGGAUGGAUCAUUGGGGGUAUCUGAAAGUAAUGGUAUGGGAGUAAGAAGAGAACCUUGUUGCUGUGGAGCUUCUGGCUAAACUGGAUAGGUUUCCUUUUGAGGUGGUUCGAUCCCGAGAAUGGACGACUUUAUUUGAUCUCAUUAAGGCUGUAGGAAAAAUGCAUUUGGCAAAAUGUUAAGCGAGUGAGGGGCAGACCAAUAACCAGGGUCUCUGCUCAUGGGUGGCCCGUGCGCCCUGCUGGGAAGUUUAUAUGUUGGUGAUCAAGGCGAAAAUAAUGGUAUUUCGGUGAGGAACAGCUGUACACCAUGAGGAAGGCAAGGCUGCGGCAAGAACGUAGCCAAUUGGAUACGAAAAAGAAGUCCAGAAAGGAAUGAAAGAAAGGAUGCGAGGGAAAUAGCCAAAUGACGGGCAAGUGGCAACAGCCAAAGAGACUGGAGGGAAGAGGCACUGAAAUGUGCAUCCAAGUAUUAUUACUUGUCAACAACGUCACAGGAAACAUUUCAGAAUGACACCGCCUCAUGGUUACAUCACUAUAGUGGCUUAAAUAAAUUUCACUUCAAAUCUUAAGCUUUUAAGAAAAAAUUAGUUAACACCAAGAGUUAGCAUGCCAGAUUUUCCAUCAACAGACCUGGCA